AUCGAACGCUGGCGGCAGGCCUAACACAUGCAAGUCGAACGAGUGGCGGACGGGUGAGUAAUGUCUGGGAAACUGCCUGAUGGAGGGGGAUAACUACUGGAAACGGUAGCUAAUACCGCAUACCAUCGGAUGUGCCCAGAUGGGAUUAGCUAGUGGGUGGGGUAAAGGCUCACCUAGGCGACGAUCCCUAGCUGGUCUGAGAGGAUGACCGGCCACACUGGAACUGAGACACGGUCCAGACUCCUACGGGAGGCAGCAGUGGGGAAUAUUGCGCAAGGGGCGCAAGCCUGAUGCAGCCAUGCCGCGUGUGUGAAGAAGGCCUUCGGGUUGUAAAGUACUUUCGGCAGGGAGGCGUUACCCGCAGAAAAAGCACCGGCUAACUCCGUGCCAGCCGCCGCGGUAAUAC
rnacentral:rRNA from 1 species